AGUGAACGCUGGCGGUAGGCCUAACACAUGCAAGUCGAACGGCAGCACAGGAGAGCUUGCUCUCUGGGUGGCGAGUGGCGGACGGGUGAGGAAUACAUCGGAAUCUACUUUUUCGUGGGGGAUAACGUAGGGAAACUUACGCUAAUACCGCAUACGACCUACGGGUGAAAGCAGGGGAUCUUCGGACCUUGCGCGAUUGAAUGAGCCGAUGUCGGAUUAGCUAGUUGGCGGGGUAAAGGCCCACCAAGGCGACGAUCCGUAGCUGGUCUGAGAGGAGGAUCAGCCACACUGGAACUGAGACACGGUCCAGACUCCUACGGGAGGCAGCAGUGGGGAAUAUUGGACAAUGGGCGCAAGCCUGAUCCAGCCAUACCGCGGGGGUGAAGAAGGCCUUCGGGUUGUAAAGCCCUUUUGUUGGGAAAGAAAUCCAGCUGGUUAAUACCCGGUUGGGACGACGGUACCCAAAGAAUAAGCACCGGCUAACUUCGUGCCAGCAGCCGCCGUAA
rnacentral:rRNA from 1 species